UACGUAGGGGGCGAGCGUUGUCCGGAUUUAUUGGGCGUAAAGAGCUCGUAGGCGGCUUGGCAAGUCGGGUGUGAAACCUCCAGGCUCAACCUGGAGACGCCACUCGAUACUGCUAUGGCUAGAGUCCGGUAGGGGAGCGUGGAAUUCCUGGUGUAGCGGUGAAAUGCGCAGAUAUCAGGAGGAACACCGGUGGUGUAGACGGCUCACUGGACCGUAACUGACGCUGAGACACGAAAGCGUGGGUAGCAAACAGGG
rnacentral:rRNA from 1 species